UGAGGUUGUGAACCCCGGUGAAAC
rnacentral:piRNA from 1 species